AUGUAUCUAUCAUGUGAUUUCCCUCGAUGCAUGCAUUUAGUUUCCAUUAGAUCCCUCCUCCGACGCCCCUCCUCCCCCAUCCCCGGCCAUCCCCCUUCCAUCACCCUUAAUGUCCCAGUCGCCGCUCUCUCUCUCUCUCUCCCUCUCGGUUCAGUGAGAUGGGAUCCACUCCCGCAGCCACCGCCCCACCCUCACACUCACCAUCGACGACCCCCGCCGCCAUCGCACACCAUAGCGCCAUCCCCUCACCCUAGCCCCAGGUCAGGCAGACGACGAGUACGCCGACCCGGCAGUCAUCAUCGCCUCCGAGACGGACGCGUGUUGGCGGCACAUGGGGCCCACAUCAUCAUGGCCGUGCGCAACCUCGCCGCGGCAGAGGCCGUGCGCCAGGUCGUCCUUGCCGAGACCCCCGUCGCCAGCCUCAACCUGAUAGAGCUGGACCUCUCCCCACUGACCUCCAUCCGCAACUUCGCCGCCAACUUCGCCGACAGGGGCCUACCGCUGAACAUCCUCAUUUGUUUUGCGCAUUGUCUUGUAUUGCCUUCCCUGGUAGCUCAUAGCCUGGGAGAUAGGAUGCAGAAAUUGGAUGAAGAUGAUCACAUUGUUCCUCUUUCCAUAAUCCUUCAUAUUUUCUGCGUGCUGCUAUCAACUGAAUUUAAUCAUCUUUCUUUGAUGACAAUUCAACAUACCCCUGCCCUUUCGGAGAGGGAAGGUUUCCCACUCAUGGACACCUAG
rnacentral:rRNA from 1 species